AUUGAACGCUGGCGGCAGGCCUAACACAUGCAAGUCGAACGGUAACAGGAAGCAGCUUGCUGCUUUGCUGACGAGUGGCGGACGGGUGAGUAAUGUCUGGGAAACUGCCUGAUGGAGGGGGAUAACUACUGGAAACGGUAGCUAAUACCGCAUAACGUCGCAAGACCAAAGAGGGGGACCUUCGGGCCUCUUGCCAUCGGAUGUGCCCAGAUGGGAUUAGCUAGUAGGUGGGGUAACGGCUCUCCUAGGCGACGAUCCCUAGCUGGUCUGAGAGGAUGACCAGCCACACUGGAACUGAGACACGGUCCAGACUCCUACGGGAGGCAGCAGUGGGGAAUAUUGCACAAUGGGCGCAAGCCUGAUGCAGCCAUGCCGCGUGUAUGAAGAAGGCCUUCGGGUUGUAAAGUACUUUCAGCAGGGAGGAAGGGAGUAAAGUUAAUACCUUUGCUCAUUGACGUUACCCGCAGAAGAAGCACCGGCUAACUCCGUG
rnacentral:rRNA from 1 species